UACGGAGGGUGCGAGCGUUGUCCGGAAUCACUGGGCGUAAAGGGCGCGUAGGCGGCAUGCCAAGCGUGUGGUGAAAGCCCGGGGCUCAACCCCGGGUCGGCCGUGCGGACUGGCGUGCUCGAGCAUUGUAGGGGCGGGUGGAAUUCCGGGUGUAGCGGUGGAAUGCGUAGAGAUCCGGAAGAACACCGGUGGCGAAGGCGGCCCGCUGGGCAGGAAGGCUCGCAAGAGCCGGCUGACGCUGAGGCGCGACAGCGUGGGGAGCAAACAGG
rnacentral:rRNA from 1 species